CACCGCGGUUAUACGAGAGGCCCAAGUUGACAAAAACCGGCGUAAAGCGUGGUUAAUAAAAACUAAACUAAAGCCGAACAUCUUCAAAGCUGUUAUACGCACCCGAAGACAGGAAGACCUUCAACGAAAGUGGCUUUAACCAUUAUGACCCCACGAAAGCUAGGAUA
rnacentral:rRNA from 1 species